rnacentral:rRNA from 1 species
CAGUCGCCGCGGUAAUACGUAGGGUGCGAGCGUUAAUCGGAAUUACUGGGCGUAAAGCGUGCGCAGGCGGUUAUAUAAGACAGAUGUGAAAUCCCCGGGCUCAACCUGGGACCUGCAUAUGUGACUGUAUAGCUAGAGUACGGUAGAGGGGGAUGGAAUUCCGCGUGUAGCAGUGAAAUGCGUAGAUAUGCGGAGGAACACCGAUGGCGAAGGCAAUCCCCUGGACCUGUACUGACGCUCAUGCACGAAAGCGUGGGGAGCAAACAGGAUUAGAUACCCGCGUAGUCCCUGUCUCUUAUAC